rnacentral:misc_RNA from 1 species
AACAUUGGCCACCAUUAAUAGCCUGGAGCAAGAAGAAAAUCACAAACUAGUGUCAAAACAAUAGCAUUAAAAACACCAGAUUAAAUACAGAAAGGGGGCUAUUAUGGAGGUCUAUUGAAUUUCAGGCAUUUACGAUUAUCAAUUGGAUUAACACAUUGGAAGUUAUUCUAGAACAGCAGUAAUCAUCUGGCAUGAUAAUGCGUUGUGGAAUUUGUGCAUUGCAGACAUCAUGAGUAGGCACAAAAUUUUGCCAGUUUAGAUAAUGCAUAAGAAAGGUGUUACGAACGAACACUAGACUCCAACAUCACCUUUUAAUAUAGAAACAAUCACAUAUAGAUAAACAAAUUAGAUAAAAGAAUCCUGGACAAGAUACAUAAAUAGUGCAUGAUUAGAUCCAUUAUUAAACAUCAUAACCAUAAAGAUAAAAGAAGAAGAAGAAGA